UCCCAGCCCCGCCCGCCCAGGCGGGUGAGCAGACAAACCUCUCGGCCUGACAAGGACGUGCUGUGUAACCAAGUGACCCAGAUUUCCCAGGAGCAGAUACUGGUGACAAGUGAGGAUGGAAAGCAACUCCGAGGCCUACCCUGGGCCUUGUGGUCCCAGCACAACCAGAAGUCCUGGAGGCGGAAUCCCUAAAGUUUUGCGAGGAAUUGUGAAAACCCUCCAGCUUUCUCCACAGUUACUCCAAAUUCCUCAGGUUCCUGGAGAUGAGGAAAAACCAAGAACAUCACUGAGCCCUUUCUGUAGGGAAGUAAGCACCAUGCUGUGAUGAACCCUGUGGAGAUGUCUAUGUGAGAACUCAAGGCUUGCCAGCAUCCACAUGAGUGAGCCUGGAAGUGGAUCUUCUUCCAACAGAUGCUUGAAAUGCCUGCAACCUUAUGAGAGACCCUGAGCCAGAGGACCCAGCUAAGACACACCUGGAUUCUUGACCCAUAGAGACUGACUAGUCCUCUUUCUGCAAGAUAGUCUCAUGAAGAACUUUCAAGGGAUAAUGAGACAAUGGACAAAGAAAUAAGGAGACACUCACCCCAGGAUGUCUGGACUUAGGGUUACACAGAGCCCAUCAAGAGAAUGGAUUAACAAUUCAAUGUGAAAGGAGAAAUACCAAUGAUGAAAAUCAGAAGAAUCAAAUUGAUGUCAUCCUGGGGAAGGGGAGGUUAAGGUGGUGGAACUUCCAACAAAGCACCUAAAGAGAUUGAGUCAUCCAAGAGACUUUAAAUCAGCCCUGACACGGAGUUGAACUUUAAAUGGACUGAAUAUUUAAAAACAUUGACACCUGAAAGGAACUCUUUAAACCUGAAGAAACUGAGGUAUUGUGAAUUGCAAGUUUCAGUUUCAUAACGACUUAGUGGAUGGGAUGGUUAAUGGGAAAGAUCAUUAGAGAAACUUUUUUCUUUACAUAUCUUUCUAUAGGUAACUAAGUACAGUGUAAAUUUGCUAUCCUACUAUAUAAAUCUCCUUUUUUCCUCCCUAUGUUAUUCAUUAGUCCAUUCUUCCAUUCACCCAUCCCAUUGAAUUGAUUUGUUGAAACUACUAAAUAAAAUAAUACAUGUUAUGAACCUAUCAGAAUGUGGGACAUGUAUACACAAUUUGUGUUAGCUACUACUACUACUAUUAUUAUUUGUAUAAUAUUGUCAUUAUUAUUAAUUUUCUGCAUACCAUAUAGUCUGUUUCCUAUGAGUUACUUCAGAAUCUCUAGUAAAUACAACUAUGGAGGAGAUGGCAAUGUAGAAAAGUUAUCAAUUUUUAUUUUAUCAUGUUUAAUGAGAAAAACGCCAUCAAUUAACUUCACUCAAAAAAAACUUUAAAAAAUCAUAUCUGUGAAUAUAGCCAAUAUUUUAUAGUAACUAUAAAUGGAGUACAACUUUUAAAAAUUGUGAGUCACAAUGUUGUAGACCUGAAACUUACAUAUAAUAUUGUACAUCAACUCUACCUCAAUCAAAAAAAAAAAAACUAGCAAUAUAACACUGGCCAAAUUAAAAAAAAAUUAUACCUGUGAAUUUAAGAAUAUUGUAGACACUAUUGCUAUUCAAAUGAAUAAAACUCAGCUUCCGACAAGUAAAGCUUGCAUUGUUGUUGGAAUAAAGUAAAACAUACAUUUAAGUUCCAUAAAGUGUUAGGUUUGUUACACUAGAAAUAUGCUUAGGGUUUCAGUUAUGGGUUAAAAAGAGGAAGUGCUCAGUUUUAACUGGGCAAGAGGGUCAGGAUAAGAAUUAAGAGAAGAGGGGAAAUUUGGGAACAUCUUGAACAGUAGUGAAGUGGCUGAGCGGGGAUGGGUAUUCCACACAGAGGGAACCGAGUCCACAAAGGCAUAGGCAGGAAAUAAUUUCAUGUGCUGAUGAGUUGAGAGCAUAGAGUGGGACAGGAUAGGAGUGUGGCAACAAAGGAGGCUGAAUUACUAAUCCAUUAAUCCAUUCAGCAGAUAGCUCUCUACUGUUUGCCCUGUCAGGCAUGGAAGGUGCUGGGGAUACAGUGAUGGUCUCUGCUUUGAUGGACUCACAUUCUGAAUAAUCACAGUCUUCUUCUAUGGGAAACGGGGCUUUGUUGAAGGGGGAAUGACUUUAUUUUUAUUGUAGGAAGGUCACUUGGUGGCCGUGUGAAGCAGUGUUUGAAGGGGGCACAAAUGAGGAUGGACAGACUAGAUGAUAGACGGACUAGAGGUAGAUGAUCAUUUACUAAUUCAAAUGAGAGGAGCUGACGCCACUAGAAGCAAGAACAGAAAGAAGUAAGCUUUGAUAACUAGCUUGAAUCUAUUAAGUCUUGGUGACUACUUGGACCUGGGGUGUAAAAGAGAGGGUAAAACUUGAAUGGCCCAGAGUUCUCUGACUUGUGUGAAAGGUGAUACACUCACUGAGUUUGUUGUCUCACCUGCUUUUCUAGACAAGCUAGAGCCUUGGGUGCUGAGCCUGGGCUGGGACCUGAUGCUCUAGGAACUGAGGCUGGAAGGGGUAUAUUUAGAGUGAGUGGUGGGGGUGGACGGGAUUUGGUGAACAGGGGUGGCAUAACUUGCCCUUGGGCUGCAGCAUGUGAAACUAAAUGGGAGUGUUCCAGACGGCUCCAAGCUGUUCAAGGGGACUAAGAAGGGGACCUUUAGCUAUGAGGCUAUGGGUCUAAGGCAGGCAGUGGAGGAGCUCUCAAGGAAGGCUGUGAAAAAGCCACAGGAAAUCCAAAAGAACAUCUGCAUGUCACCAGCUCUGGUUCUAUUCCAGCCUGGGUACCUAAUCCCAUGAGCUAGUACUGAUAACUAAGGGAUGAAACAGUAUUCCUAUGAAAGCUCAUUUUUAGUUAUUCUUUAGCAAUCUGGCUUUGGCUCCCCUUGGUUUCGUCCAAAUCCAGUAACUUCCAUCACUCAUUCUAAACAUACCUCCAACCUCAGCUCUGGAAACCUCUCAUGGACUUAGAUACAGCCAUGGAGUAUCUGCUCCAACUUUAUCACUCACUUGAAGUGGGCAGAUGGAAUUAAGUGCUCCACAAGGGGUCUUCAUAGCAAAAGCUGUGUUUUGGGGGAAUUAUGGACAUACAAAGAAAUGUUGGAUCAUUUUUUUCUAUUUUAUUAUUUUUUCCGCUUUGCAUAAGUAUGAUGAAUCCUUUCCAGGUCCAGACAUCCCCUAUUUCUCAGGGGAUGUAAGGUGGUGACCCUGAUGAUGGCAGCUGCUUGGCCCUACCUUUAGACCUGGUUCUUCUAGAUGGCUCACCUCCUCCCAGAAGCAAUGAUAGCGUAACCAGAAGCUAAACUUCUUUAAAAAUUAAUUAAUCAAUUAAUUUGUAUUUGCUGAUGAGUACUAGCAGCACAUGAAAUCCUGUUUGAUGGUGUUUGUUGUCUUUCCUCAACUUCUUAGGACAGACCAAUGGUGCAUGAAGGAAAUUUAAGAAAUACAGGGUGAAAGUUAGGUUAAAGUCAGGAAGGGUGACUGAUAGAUCAA